UGCCCGUAGUAGCCAUGGCGGCCAUGAGUCUUUUGCAUCGGGCUUCGGUUUCUGCAGUGGCCGCUCUGUCCGGCCGCCGUCUUGGCACUCGACUUGGAUUCGGAGGCUUCCUCACCCGUGACCUCCCGAAGACUGUCGCUCCUGUGCGACACAGUGGAGACCAUGGGAAAAGACUGUUUAUCAUCAAGCCUUCCGGAUUCUAUGACAGACGUUUUUUGAAAUUACUGAGAUUCUACAUUUUGUUGACUGGGAUUCCAGUAGCAAUUGGCAUAACUUUGAUAAAUGUAUUCAUUGGUGAAGCUGAGUUAGCAGAAAUUCCAGAAGGCUACGUCCCAGAACACUGGGAAUAUUUCAAGCAUCCUAUAUCAAGAUGGAUUGCCCGAAAUUUCUUUGAUGCUCCUGAAAAGAAUUAUGAAAGAACAAUGGCUAUCCUUCAAAUGGAAGCUGAAAAGGCUGAAUUACGAUUAAAGGAGCUGGAAGUACGAAGAUUAAUGAGAGCAAGAGGCGAUGGCCCCUGGUUUCAGUAUCCGACCAUCGAUAAGGCACUUGUUGAUCGUUCUCCAAAAGCAACACCUGACAACUAAUCUUUAAUUUCUCUAAAUACAAAGUAUACUGUCUUUAGGUGAAAAUAAAUUACUAAAUAUAUUCUGUA